AUGCUUGAACGGCGCCGCCCCUUUUCGCCGUCUUCUUCUUCGCCUCAACCUUUCAACUCCGACGACCUCCGUCUCCCUCAAUCUAUAUCUCCGCUUCGAUGGAACUCCACAUCUCCACCUCGCAACACACCGCAGCGGCUUCCUCACCAUUCUCCUCCUCUUCUUCCGUCGUUUACCUCUUUACUCUCAGAAUCGGAGCUAGCUGAACCGGAAUCGGUUUCCUGA